rnacentral:rRNA from 1 species
GAUGAACGCUGGCGGCGUGCCUAAUACAUGCAAGUCGAGCGAACAGACGAGGAGCUUGCUCCUCUGACGUUAGCGGCGGACGGGUGAGUAACACGUGGAUAACCUACCUAUAAGACUGGGAUAACUUCGGGAAACCGGGCUAAUACCGGAUAAUAUAUUGAACCGCAUGGUUCAAUAGUGAAAGACGGUUUUGCUGUCACUUAUAGAUGGAUCCGCGCCGCAUUAGCUAGUUGGUAAGGUAACGGCUUACCAAGGCAACGAUGCGUAGCCGACCUGAGAGGGUGAUCGGCCACACUGGAACUGAGACACGGUCCAGACUCCUACGGGAGGCAGCAGUAGGGAAUCUUCCGCAAUGGGCGAAAGCCUGACGGAGCAACGCCGCGUGAGUGAUGAAGGUCUUCGGAUCGCAAAACUCUGUUAUUAGGGAAGAACAAAUGUGUAAGUAACUAUGCACGUCUUGACGGUACCUAAUCAGAAAGCCACGGCUAACUACGUG